AAAAUACGUUGUGCAAGAGGAAUUUGGAUCUCAAAUUUCAUAGGUUACCUGGACUCUGUAACCUGUGAUUCUAUGUUACCAAGCUGCAGAUUAUCCUCUCAUACUAAAAUAAGAGGCUGGUGUAUGUCACAUGCUGAACCCUAUGUGCAAGUGUCUGAAUAAAUCUUUUGUCGCCUUAAUUACAGCCUUACAGAGCUCAUGGCCAUCAGACAAAGGCAUAUAUACUUCAGGGAUACAGAUCCAUUCAAGGCUUCUGAUGCAGAAUUUUCAAGAUUAAAGCCCCUGCUUUCCAACUGUUGACACACCAAAGGGGAGUUUUCUAAUCAGCCAGAUAUUAUAAAUCCAAC
rnacentral:lncRNA from 1 species